UCCCUGUCACAUCCUCAGUCUGCUGAAAUCUUACGUAACAGAGCAGAUGUGCAGACAAAGGCUUCGCAUGAGACCACGUUAGAUUUAGGUUGGUUUUUUUUACAGGAUAUAUUUGAAAUAAAGCACGGGCCUCAUCUGUUUGGUGCAUUAAUUACUCACAGUGGAUCGUUAGACGCGAAUGCUCUUCUCAUUUUGCACAUCCUGCAACAUCCUCCAACAGGCUUGAGCGCAGUACCGUCAAGGUUACGAUGGCUUACAAAGAGCUGUGCUAUUCUACACAUUCUCCAUUAUUCAGAAGCUUUGAUCAGCUCUCUUGUUUGAAUUUCCACCACAUCUGAUCUAUAAAACCUCAAUUCUCCCUCAAUGUUACAUCACCACCAAAUCUGGACACAGCGCUGGAUGAAACCAUCUGAAGCCAAAAACAGCUCGACUUCCCGGCUUUGGAAUUACCAGGAUCUCCUGCGUUGUGGGCCCCGUACAGCGUGCACACUGGAGACGUAAAUAAAAUGACUUCAUCUUGCAGCUCUUCUAGACUUUACCAAUAUUACUGGACCGAGUGACUUAAGUCAUGAUAGCUAAAUGAGUCAAUUUGAAGUGGUUGUGAUGUUAAAAAACAAGUAUCCAGUAUUUUACAGAUGCUUAUUUCACAACGUAAGUCUUUUUGGGAACCAGUGCAUCAUGUCAUGUUGUAAUUACACAGUUUGGCCACUAGGAGCUUGACAGCCCAGUCUGCUCUGAUUGGCUCUGAUACACAGUGCACCUUCACAAGUUACUCCAGUUAUAAAGUGAUAUAUCACACUAAGUAGUUACUAACAAAUCCCUCGUUAACACGUGAUUAACUAACCAUUACUUAUCCUUUAUUUCACACUAAAACAACUCCU